UUCCGGUUGAUCCUGCCGGACCCGACUGCUAUUUGGGUGAGAAUAAGCCAUGCGAGUUGAAUGGAAUACCUAAAUUUUCCAUGGCAAACUGCUCAGUAACACAUGAUCAACUUACCCUAUAGAGAAAAAUAACCUCGGGAAACUGAGGAUAAUGUUUCAUAGUUGAAAAGGCUUGGAAAAGUUUUUCAAUCAAAAGGAUAAAAAAAAUGGUUUUUAUCCGCUAUAGGAUAGGAUCGUGGUCGAUUAUGGUUGUUGGUGAGGUAAUGGCUCACCAAGCCGAUAAUCGAUAGGGGCCGUGAGAGCGGGAGCCCCGAGAUGGGUACUGAGACAACGACCCAGGCCUUACGAGGCGCAGCAGGCGCGAAACCUCCGCAAUACACGAAAGUGUGACGGGGUUACCCAAAGUGUUCAAUUUUGAACUGUGGUAGGUGAGUAAUGUUCCCUACUAGAAAGGAGAGGGCAAGGCUGGUGCCAGCCGCCGCGGUAAAACCAGCUCUUCAAGUGGUCGGGAUAAUUAUUGGGCUUAAAGUGUCCGUAGCCGGUUUAGUAAGUUCCUGGUAAAAUCGGGUAGCUUAACUAUCUGUAUGCUAGGAAUACUGCUAAACUAGAGGGCGGGAGAGGUCUGAGGUACUACAGGGGUAGGGGUGAAAUCUUAUAAUCCUUGUAGGACCACCAGUGGCGAAGGCGUCAGACUGGAACGUGCCUGACGGUGAGGGACGAAAGCCAGGGGAGCGAACCGGAUUAGAUACCCGGGUAGUCCUGGCCGUAAACGAUGCAUACUAGGUGAUGGCAUGGCCAUGAGCCGUGUCAGUGCCGUAGGGAAACCGUUAAGUGUGCCGCCUGGGAAGUACGGUCGCAAGGCUAAAACUUAAAGGAAUUGGCGGGGGAGCAC
rnacentral:rRNA from 1 species